GGCUUAGUUCCUUGAAUAAGACGCCCUUCAGUUUUUAGGGUCUUUUCCCACAUUUGUGUUGCAUCAAGUCAAGCCAAAGUUCCUUACUUUUCUUCAUUUGAGAAAUGAUCUUUAAAAGAGGUGAGACUGGCCCUGACCCCGCUGGUUGUUUGGAAAGCUCUGAAGACAUGGUUUUGUCUUUGUGCUG